AAUCCUUAUGGAGACGAUACUUACUUAUCACUUUAUUACUUGAAUGACGUGUACACUUGCACAAUUGCAUUAGUUAUUUUCAUGCAACAUUACACACUCAAGAUCUUUUCUUAUUAAAUAGUUUCCCAAGAAACGAUAUUUUAGCUAGAGAUGAUGGCCAAAUGUUAAAACGGUUGUUGGUUCAUGUGGAGUCUUAAGAAUUCAGAUUCACGAACUGGUUGGAUGUGAUCCAUGUUCUUGCUAGUUAAUCAUGAGACCCUAAGACGACAUGAUUGAUGGGUGUGAGAAUGAUCAUAGCAAUGAAAAAAUAGUUUUUCAAGGUUUUCAUACAAGACACAUGCAUCUGUCACGUGUGAAAUGAUAUGUGAAUUGUGCAGUAUACAUGGAAUCAAGUAUAAAGUGAUAAGUGAGAUCGUCUCACAGGGACC
rnacentral:pre_miRNA from 1 species